rnacentral:rRNA from 1 species
UAGCGGCGGACGGGUGAGUAACACGUGGGUAACCUGCCUCAUAGAGGGGAAUAGCCUCCCGAAAGGGAGAUUAAUACCGCAUAACACUGCGGUUUCGCAUGAAACUGCAGUUAAAGGAGCAAUCCGCUAUGAGAUGGACCCGCGGCGCAUUUAGCUAGUUGGUGAGGUAAAGGCUCACCAAGGCCACGAUGCGUAGCCGACCUGAGAGGGUGAUCGGCCACAUUGGAACUGAGACUNACGGUCCAGACUCCUACGGAGGCAGCAGUGGGGAAUAUUGCACAAUGGCCGAAAGCCUGAUGCAGCACGCGGCGUGAAGGAUGAAUGCCCUUCGGGUUGUAACUCUUGUCUUCUGGGACGAUAUGACGGUACCAGAGAGAAGCACGCUACUCGUGCAGCAGCGCGUAAUCGUAGUGCGAGCGUGCCGAUUACUGGCGUAGGAUGCGUAGCGAAUU